UACGGAGGGAGCUAGCGUUGUUCGGAAUUACUGGGCGUAAAGCGCACGUAGGCGGCUUUGUAAGUUAGAGGCGAAAGCCCGGGGCUCAACCCCGGAAUUGCCUUUAAGACUGCAUCGCUUGAAUCCGGGAGAGGUGAGUGGAAUUCCGAGUGUAGAGGUGAAAUUCGUAGAUAUUCGGAAGAACACCAGUGGCGAAGGCGGCUCACUGGACCGGUAUUGACGCUGAGGUGCGAAAGCGUGGGGAGCAAACAGG
rnacentral:rRNA from 1 species